rnacentral:lncRNA from 1 species
CCAGGUCAGCGGUGAUUUCACAUCCUUGAGUUCCUUGCUUAAUUUGCUGAGAAAAUCUUGGAUUCAAAAGCCAGUUUUUGGAGAUCCCCUCUUCCCAUGGCACAGCUGGUGCCUGGUGGCUGCUCCCUGGGGCUGGGGCUCUCAGGAGUGGGGCAGCAGCUCUCAGGAAAGGGUUAAGCACGGCCAGGGCUUUGGGCUCCUUUGCUGGGGGAGACGGUUGCUCGCUUGUUUGUUUGGAAGUGCUGGCAGGAAAGCGGGGAGGAGAAAAUUACCUAAGUGAUAGUGAGGUUGCCAUGAACUAUAUAAAACUGUGAAAUCAAAUCAGAAGAAAACUCCACCUCGCAGUCUUGAACCAGAAGCACAACCCCUGAAGAGAAACCCACCCCAGCACCGAGUGAUCUCAAGGACUUGAACUCAAACCAAGCUAUAUGAGCUCAGCAGAGCUGCUGCAGAGCUGAAAAUCCAAGUGCUGUCAAAGCAACCUCCAGUUGUACUGGGAACUGCGAGCAGGAAUGCUGUUCUGGGGAAGUUUUAAAAUAAUGAAGUGGAGGCAGCUUUUCUGGAUUGCAUUCUGUGUUGUGAAGUUGUCUGGCACCGCUGCUGAUGGCCUGACGGACACCCCGGCUCCAGCAUCCACAUCCACAGAGACAGACCUGAGCGGAACCGGCAGCUUGGCAGCCACCGGCGCCCUGAGCAGCACCGUGCCAGCGUUGGAGAGCCUUGCUGCAGACACGGCCAGACCCACAGCAGCCACCCCCAGCUCCCCAGGGCUCAGCACUGUUCAGACGAGCCCGCAGCAGAGCUCACAGCCCAGCAAAGCCCCCACACAGGCGCGAGGUGCCACCCUGGAGGAUGCAAGCACAGGGGUGCCCAUGACACGGACCCCAGAGGUUAAUGCCAGCAAAACAGAAGCCACCCAAGAAGGCACACUGGCCCCGCUGAGCUCUACAGCCACCUCUGAGCUGAUGCCUGUCUUAGGAGGCCAGCACAGAGCCACACGUGGCAAGCAGGUGUCCCCAAGGUGAGAGGAGGUGGCUGGAGCUGCAGCUCGCUUGCACCUCUUGCACUGGUCCUGACUGGUGCUCCCAUGCAGCAGGGAGGGUGGGUGGCUUUGCCUCAGGGCUGUAAGUGAUUAAGAAGCCUUGCUUCCAGCCCCGUCUGGAUGUGUGGUGUAGGCUGUGGGGUUAGGUGGGGCUGAACCUCGGUGAAAGCCGGUGAUGGAGCUUGUGCAGCCCGGCCUGGACCAGCAGGCACCGCAGAGCCCUGCAGCCGGCAAGCGCCCUGCAUGCAGGAGGUAACCGGGGACUUCAGCAUGAGCCGGGGCUUGCAGCUGUUGAGCGGGGGUGAGACAGGCAGCAGGCUUUCUGGAGGGUCUGUCUCUAAAAGCAUGCAGCUGUGCGUUUUGGACAUCGUGCAAAACCCCAGCAGUUCACUAAGCCUAG